AAAACACUCUCCUCCCUAAUGCGGGUGGCUCUCCUCCAAUCAUUAGUUGAGGGUUUGAACAGAACAAAAAGGCAGACUCUCCUGUGAUUAAGAGAGAAUUCUUCCCAUUUGACUCCUUGAGCUGGGACAUCACUAUUUUCCUGCUUUUGGAUUCCAACUGAAGCACCAGCUUUUCUUGGGUUGCAAGCCUUCUGGCUUUCAUACUGAAACUACAUCAUCAACUCUCUUAAGUCUCCAGCUUGCCAACUGAAGAUCUUCAGACUUCUCAGCCUCCAUAAUUGUGCAAGUUCUCCGUGAAUUACAGCAAACAUGGCUCUAAGAGUGGCUGACUGCGUGCAGCUGUGAACACCCACCAUGUUAGUAAGGAAGAGUCCCUGCAUCCAUAGCCAACUCUGGUAAAGUUCUCUGGAGCCAAAUCAAGCUAUUAUUCUUCAAGUGGUUUGAAGCAUGUUUUGGAUUCCAGCAAGAUUAAACAGAAAUGCCCCGACCAAGCUACGUUGGAAGCCUGUUUCAGCCUGAACAUGUUAAGUCCAGUCCUCAGCAAGGUGCACAGUCUCACCCAGCUCAACUUGUUUCCUUUUUCAUUAAAAAAUAUUCAUUUAGCUGAACCUGGUCUUCACUGUAGCAUGCCGGAUCUUUGGUCUUCACUGUGGCAUGGGGAAUCUUUAGCUGGGGCAUGCAAACUCUUAGAUGUGGCAAAGAGAAUCCAGUUCGCUGACCAGGGACCAAAUUCAGGCCCCCAGCAUUGGGAGCUCAGACUCUUAGCCACUGGACCCCUAGGGAAGUUCCCUCAGCUUUUUUCUUGUUAAGUCUCCUACCCACUUUCUUCUCAGCACCCAUCACAGUAUCACACAUAAGGUAGGUGUUCAGUAUAAUUUAAAGAUGGUAACAGCUCUCAAAUUAGCAAGGCCUUUAGCUCAAAGUGAAGUCUUCUGCAUUCUUUUUGUCUGCUGUUUGUUCGGUGUGACAAUGUAAAUGUUUUGCCUUGCUCAAUGCACUCCUGAUGUUUUGGAGAUGUGGUAUAUUAGUUAUAUUAGCCUGAGUUUGUUUUGUGGUAGUACCACAUCCCCUUUUGGCACGUAUGACAGAGAGGCAGCCUUAGCCAGUGUCAUACUUUCUUCUCUUACUAAAGACAUAGAUUAUGCUUAUGUAACUCUUGCACCAGUCCAUCCUAAAAGAAAUCAGUCCUGAAUGUUCAUUGGAAGGACUGAUGUUGAAGCUGAAACUCCAAUACUUUGGCCACUUGAUGCAAAGAGCUGACUCGUUUGAAAAGAUCCUGAUGCUGGGAAAGAUUGAAGGUGAGAGGAGAAGGGAACGACAGAGGAUGAGAUGGUUGGAUGGCAUCACCGACUCAAUGAAUAUGAGUUUGAGUAAACUCCAGAAGUUGGUGAUGGACAGGGAGGCCUAGUGUGCUGCAGUCCGUGGGGUUGCAAAGAGUUGGACAUGACUGAGCAACUGAACUGAACUGAACUGAACUCUUGCAU
ensembl:lncRNA